GGGUGCAUCAAUACCCCUAGAUCGUUUCCAGUCCUCGUACCAAUAUAUAGCCUCCCCUUUAAAUCUAUACGUCGCUAACUCCACUGUCUCUCUACCCGUUACAUGCAUAACAUCUAAGGCCCUUUGAAUUUGAUCAAUAAAGUCCUAUGGAUCCCCAUUAAGAUCUCAUCCAGUAAAAGUGGGAGGAUCCAUCUUAAUAAAAUCCUGUGUUUGAAGGCUAGCCGCCCUAUCUGUACCACUAGGACCCGUGGUAGGAAUGACUUGCCC
rnacentral:lncRNA from 1 species